rnacentral:rRNA from 1 species
AUUGAACGCUGGCGGCAUGCUUUACACAUGCAAGUCGAACGGUAACAGGGAGCUUGCUCCGCUGACGAGUGGCGAACGGGUGAGUAAUGCAUCGGAACGUGCCGUGUAAUGGGGGAUAACGUAGCGAAAGUUACGCUAAUACCGCAUACGCCCUGAGGGGGAAAGCGGGGGAUCGUAAGACCUCGCGUUAUACGAGCGGCCGAUGUCGGAUUAGCUAGUUGGUGGGGUAAAGGCCUACCAAGGCGACGAUCCGUAGCGGGUCUGAGAGGAUGAUCCGCCACACUGGGACUGAGACACGGCCCAGACUCCUACGGGAGGCAGCAGUGGGGAAUUUUGGACAAUGGGGGCAACCCUGAUCCAGCCAUGCCGCGUGAGUGAAGAAGGCCUUCGGGUUGUAAA